UUUUGUUUUGAUUAUAGAAUUUUUGUUAAUUAGUAUUACCUUCACAAAUAAUUAAAAUCAAUAAUGAUCCUUCCGCAGGUUCACCUACGGA
rnacentral:rRNA from 1 species